rnacentral:rRNA from 1 species
CCUACGGGAGGCUGCAGUGGGGAAUAUUGCACAAUGGGGGAAACCCUGAUGCAGCGACGCCGCGUGAGUGAAGAAGUAUUUCGGUAUGUAAAGCUCUAUCAGCAGGGAAGAAAAUGACGGUACCUGACUAAGACGCCCCGGCUAACUCCGUGCCAGCAGCCGCGGUAAUACGUAGGGGGCAAGCGUUAUCCGGAUUUACUGGGUGUAAAGGGAGCGUAGACGGCUGAGCAAGUCAGGAGUGAAAACCCAGGGCUCAACUUUGGGACUGCUUUGGAAACUGAGUAGCUAGAGUGCAGGAGAGGUAAGCGGAAUUCCUAGUGUAGCGGUGAAAUGCGUAGAUAUGAGGAGGAACACCAGCGGCGAAGGCGGCUUACUGGACUGUAACUGACGUUGAGGCUCGAAGGCGUGGGGAGCAAACAGGAUUAGAUACCCCAGUAGUC